rnacentral:rRNA from 1 species
GACGAACCGUCCAAACGUUAUUCGGAAUCACUGGGCUUACAGAGUUCGUAGGCGGUCUGGAAAGUUGGGUGUGAAAUCCCUCGGCCUAACCGAGGAACUGCGCUUGAAACUACCAGACUCGAGGGAGAUAGAGGAAAGCGGAACUGAUGGUGGAGCGGUGAAAUGCGUUGAUAUCAUCAGGAACACCGGUGGCGAAGGCGGCUUCUGGGUCUUACCUGACGCU